UUAGAAUGUCAGUACUUUCUCCUCUUAGACCACAGCUGAUGAAUUGUGCUCAAUUCUGAGAACCGCAUUUUAGGCAGAACAUUAAAAAGAUGUAGAGUCUCCAAAUAAAGGCAGUCAGAAUGGUAGCAAGACCUGAGUUCACGCCAUAUUAGGAUCAACUGAAGGAUUUGGAGACAUUUACCCUGAAGAAGAGAAGACAGUAGGAUGUCUUCAAAUGUCUGAAGUGCUAUCACACAAACGGACUAAACUUACUCUACUCAUUCCCACAGGGCAGAGCUAGGAACAAUAGAUAAUCUACAAAGAGGCAAAUUCAGGCACGAAAGCAAGAAAAACUUUUUAAUAAUUAGAGCUACCAAAGGAGUGCCUUGUGAAGGAUCAUGUUCCUUUUUACUGCAGUUUUGCAAGCAAAGGAUAUAUAGUCACUUGUCAGAUGUGAAACGAUCCUUGGCAGAGAAAGGGAACAAGCUGCUGUUUUUUCCAAGAUCAGAUCAGAUCAAAUCGCAGCCUUCCCCCUAUGAGGGGAGAUGGAUUUACCCUGUUGCCUGGAGACCGGACUGAAACAGAGACCCAGAGAGAGCACCCGGGCACUGGAUCCAGAGGGGUUAAGAAUGAGUCCUGGGCCAGAUAACUCCUGGAAUGGAUAACGGAGCCAAGUAACCCCAGCAAAGUGAAGCCUCAGAUCGAGCUGGAGAUAGACGACAGAAAGAAGAAGGCAGUGUCUGCAGACCCCCUCCCCAGGAAGGAUUUACCUCCUGCCCCAGCGCUCAGGUACCAAUGGUUCAGCCAUGAAGGAAGUAAAGCAGAUGGAGAAUGGAGUUCUAAUAAAUGAAACCACAGGGAAACAGCUAAAAAGGUAUUCAGAAAUGGCUUUCAGAUAUCUGGGAGCAUCUCUACCUCUGACUGAUUAUUUGCCUGCCUCUGAGUUGUUUAUAACAAGAGGAAAAUAAACUUGCCAACACUUCAAAUCAAGAAAGUGGAUCCUUUUGGAGAAGGUGCUAUAAAGAUGCCUGCAGAAGCCACACAUUGCAUCAAAAGAUGCAGAAUGAACUUUGGGAUAUAAUGAACUGAACUGAAGGGGAUUGCACAAUCUUAUUCUGAAUGUAAACUAUUAUUCCAAAGGGGACUGCCCCCUAAUUGGCAUUUUGUCAAUGUGUCUAUCAAUCAGUUUUUGUAUUUUUCCUCUCAUAUUUCCCUCACAUCUCUAACUAUUAUAACUUCGUCUUAGAAAAUGCAAUAUUGUAUGUAUUUUAGAUAGAAGGUAUUUAGAAUUUUAAAAAUAGUUAUGUUUAAAUGAUCCAUUGGGGAGACUGGUCUCCCAAAGGUUCACAGCAGAGAUUGUGCCAAGGGGAUCUUAUCCCCCUCCUGUGUAGCCUGAUCUAUUCAUCAACAUUUUUAAAUACCACAAUUGCACCAGGUUUUGUGGCCGUGAAUGUCCUGAACAUGAAUAAAAGAAAGGGGGAAGGGCUUUUCUGGGUCUUCUUGGAUGGAUACAAUGCUGGAAAGAUAGGUGAGGGAGAGAAAAGGUUAAUGGAGGCUAGACGACACAUGGUCAAAGGACUUAGAAUAAGAAAGAGAUUUUAAACUGUGCUGAUCUACCAUUCCUAGUAAUAAACUUCAUAAAAUUAAUAACUGGGUAGAUAUAUUAAUUUCAAUUGUAAUAAGACUAAAGUUUAAUAUGUAGAUAUGGGCAUCUUCCACAUAGAAAUGGUAAUUAAUUCUAUGGAAACUAUUGAUAUCAUCAAAAAAGGGAGAGAGAAAAGAGAAAAGACAAGAAGUACCAAAGCAGAACAUUAAAAUGUGCAUUUUAAGGAUAUGACAGAACAAAACAGAGAAAUCAAUUGACCAUCCUAUCACUCCUGCUUUCCCUAAAGUUCCGACCCCCUAUUUCCUGUUUAUCGCUAGGUAUAUGUCCCAUCAGCACCUCAAAUUCAGCACAUUCAAACCUGAGCUGUUCUCAUCAAAACUUGCCUUUCCCUUCAUUUCUCUAUUUCACCAUCUUCUGAGUCAUCAACUUAAAAAGUUCAAUUAUCUGCAACUCCAUUUUCUUCUCUCCACAGAUCUAAUCAGUUUUUAGAUCUUGUUAGUCCUCUCUCGGCAAUUUUUCCCAUCCUUUCCCUUUUUUCCACUCACACUGAAACCACCCCAAUUCAAAGCCCUCAUUUUAAUCUUACCUAAAAUAUUAAGAGCCUGAUAAAUGGUCCUUACUCAAUUGGUCCAUUCAUGCUGUUGCCUCAAUAAUAUUCCCUAUAUACUUCUGAUUAUGUUCUCUUAUUAGAAACAUAAAACAACAACAAAAAACCUACAGUGGCAUGGCAUAAUGGAUAAAGCAUAAAUCAAUUUCUGAUGCUGGCUAAUAAGACUAUCCACAAAUUAAUGACAACCUACUUUUUAAACUUGUCACUUCCCCCACUCUUCUACUUCACACAUACAUUGAUUGUUUCAUUUAAACUAAGGUAGUCUUUAUAAUCUUUUCUUAUAUUCUAACAUCCCUGUUUUGAAUCUUUUUUUUUCACACUGUCCACAUGGCAAAAGAAAAAUCUUCCAAUAUCCAUGUUCAACAAAUGAAGUUCUCUUCUGUCAAGGUAUACUUAAGUAUUACCUCUUUCCUGAAGCUUUCUCUGACCUCUUCAGCCCAGAAGAAAGAGCUUUUCUUUAACUUCAACUUGUAAGCAUCCUAAGUGAUCUCUCAAGCAAAAAGACCUUAGGACUCAUGAUUAUUUGUGCCAAUGCAGGUGUGAAGUAUCAUGAAGUAUCUUAUUACCCAAAUGACCUUAAGGAAAGUCAAUUAAACUCAGAGUCCCAGAUUUUUUCAUGUGUAAAAUGAGAAAAUAGAGGCAAGUUCCUCAAUUUUAGAGGGACUUUAGAUCCUGUACCUGGAAACUGAAGUCCAGAGAGAUUGUGACUUCAAGACUUCUCCAACUACUCCAAACAGCAUAAAUCUAC